rnacentral:rRNA from 1 species
GAUGAACGCUGGCGGCAUGCCUUACACAUGCGAGUCGAACGGUAACGGGCCUUCGGGUGCCGACGAGUGGCGAACGGGUGAGUAAUGUAUCGGAACGUACCUUUCAGUGGGGGAUAACGUAGCGAAAGUUACGCUAAUACCGCAUAUUCUGUGAGCAGGAAAGCAGGGGAUCGCAAGACCUUGCGCUGAUUGAGCGGCCGAUAUCAGAUUAGCUAGUUGGUGAGGUAAAGGCUCACCAAGGGGACGAUCUGUAGCGGGUCUGAGAGGAUGAUCCGCCACACUGGAACUGAGACACGGUCCAGACUCCUACGGGAGGCAGCAGUGGGGAAUUUUGGACAAUGGGGGCAACCCUGAUCCAACCAUGCCGCGUGAGUGAAGAAGGCCUUCGGGUUGUAAAGCUCUUUCGGCCGGGAAGAAAUCGUAUCAGCUAAUACCUGGUGCGGAUGACGGUACCGGCAUAAGAAGCACCGGCUAACUACGUGCCAGCCGCCGCAGUAAGAC